GAUAGCUCAGUCGGUAGAGCAUGAGACCCUUAAUCUCAGGGUUGUGAGUUCAAGCCCCAUGUUGGGCA